rnacentral:rRNA from 1 species
UCCGUAGGGUCCGAGCGUUGUCCGGAAUUACUGGUCGUAAAGGGCUCGUAGGCGGCCAACUAAGUCAGACGUGAAAUCCCCAGGCUCAACCUGGGAACUGCGUCUGAUACUGGAUGGCUUGAAUCCGGGAGAGGGAUGCAGAAUUCCAGGUGUAGCGGUGAAAUGCGUAGAUAUCUGGAGGAAUACCGGUGGCGAAGGCGGCAUCCUGGACCGGCAUUGACGCUGAGGAGCGAAAGCCAGGGGAGCAAACGGG